AGUGAACGCUGGCGGUAGGCCUAACACAUGCCAGUCGAACGGCAGCACAGUAAGAGCUUGCUCUUACGGGUAGCGAGUGGCGGACGGGUGAGGAAUACAUCGGAAUCUACUUUUUCGUGGGGGAUAACGUAGGGAAACUUACGCUAAUACCGCAUACGACCUACGGGUGAAAUCAGGGGAUCUUCGGACCUUGCGCGAUUGAAUGAGCCGAUGUCGGAUUAGCUAGUUGGCGGGGUAAAGGCCCACCAAGGCGACGAUCCGUAGCUGGUCUGAGAGGAUGAUCAGCCACACUGGAACUGAGACACGGUCCAGACUCCUACGGGAGGCAGCAGUGGGGAAUAUUGGACAAUGGGCGCAAGCCUGAUCCAGCCAUACCGCGUGGGUGAAGAAGGCCUUCGGGUUGUAAAGCCCUUUUGUUGGGAAAGAAAAGCAGCAGGUUAAUACCCCGCUGUUCUGACGGUACCCAAAGAAUAAGCACCGGCUAACUUCGUG
rnacentral:rRNA from 1 species